ensembl:snoRNA SNORA70 Small nucleolar RNA SNORA70
UUGCAGCCAAUUAAGCUGACUGUGCUCUUUUCCUCCAUGGAGGCCUGGUGUGCAAUGGCUGCAAACUCCUAGGUAGUGUAUGCAGCCUGUUGCCUGCAUGGGUUGCCCUGAGGGACCUUGGAGACAGCC